rnacentral:rRNA from 1 species
UGGGGAAUAUUGCACAAUGGGCGCAAGCCUGAUGCAGCGACGCCGCGUGAGGGAUGACGGCCUUCGGGUUGUAAACCUCUUUUCAGCAGGGACGAAGCGCAAGUGACGGUACCUGCAGAAGAAGCACCGGCCAACUACGUGCCAGCAGCCGCGGUAAUACGUAGGGUGCGAGCGUUGUCCGGAAUUACUGGGCGUAAAGAGCUCGUAGGCGGUUUGUCGCGUCGUCUGUGAAAUUCUGCAGCUUAACUGCAGGCGUGCAGGCGAUACGGGCAGACUUGAGUACUACAGGGGAGACUGGAAUUCCUGGUGUAGCGGUGAAAGUGCGCAGAUAUCAGGAGGAACACCGGUGGCGAAGGCGGGUCUCUGGGUAGUAACUGACGCUGAGGAGCGAAAGCGUGGGUAGCGAACAGGAUUAGAUACCCUGGUAGUCCACGCCGUAAACGGUGGGUACUAGGUGUGGGUUCCAUUUCACGGGAUCCGUGCCGUAGCUAACGCAUUAAGUACCCCGCCUGGGGAGUACGGCCGCAAGGCUAAAA